UUCCCCUCUUAGGGAUCACAGUCUGUACUCUUGAUAACAAGUGUCUGAAAAUUCUUGCUUUAUCCAGCUUUUGUUUCAGGUGGGAGGAUAAAUCUGGCCUCUCUUACUCCAUUGUUGCCAGGAGAAGUUUAAAUGUGUCUUUUAACUUAGGAAUAUUUUCUGAAAAAUCCUUCAUGGAGGUCGCCCCCAGUCAUUAAGAAUAUUUCUAGUCUGCUAACUAUAGUCAUUAAGCUGUACCUUAGAUCUCAAAAAUGUAUUCAUCCUGUGUAACUGAAACUUUGUUCUUUCACCAACUUCUUACCAACGUUAAUUCUUUCUACUGCCACUUCUGUGUUACAUAGUUGCUUGGAUAAAUACAAAGUGGCCAGAUGAGGAUUCUGGUGUGGAUUUGUCACAUAACUCUUCGACUCCCAGAUUGUCAAGGAUAAAAUUAAGAACUCCCUGGAGUUGUGUAGGUCUCGGAGACAGUUCAGAUCUCCAAGGUGGGCUCAUAGACACAGCUUUGCAUUAACAUGGUCUUUGGUGCUUUUAGUUCAAGCAUCAAACUGUCAGACAACACUAGGUCCCACAGAUCCAAGACCUGUGCCACCAGAAGGACUCCUGUCAUCAGUGGCCCCUCAAUCCGGUGUCUACAUACUGUUUCCCCAGGUUCUUGGGGAAAGAACCCAGACCUCCAAAAAAGUCCUGAUGAUACCCAGCUCAAAACCUCAGACUCCCUACUCCCUUGGCCUAGAAGCUCUUACUGCCUGAGCAAACACUAUCAGCUGUGGCUUGGAACUCUAUCAAAAAGGGAAAAAAGUGACUUAAGGAGAGCGGUUAGUAAAAGGGGGGCUGUCAUCUUACUUUCUCUAAUAGUUGAGCACUAAAUGUUUGUUUUCCCUGCUUUAAACCUUAAGUCUUAAAUAAGGUCAGUGGCAUAGAACACUCAGUCAACAAAUAGAGUUGCUACAAUAUUACUUUAGAUCAUAACACUGGUCGGAAGCUCCUGGUGGCUUUGCCUCAAGAGGUCAUUCUAGUCUUUUCAGACAUUGUGUGUGUUGAAACGGCUUCUACUGAGAUCUCUGCUGGCUGAUCAUGAGUUCUGAUAAGAGAAACACCUUUUCCUCAAGGGAAACAGCUAUAUGGAAACAGUAUCACGCAAGAGACUUAUGAGAAAUGAAGUCUCACCAGCAAUGUCAGCCGCAAGUGUCCACUGCUUUCAGGUUUAAGAAAAUUUAGAAUUUCAGUGAAGUCGAUAGAUGCCAUGGAAUUGAGAAGCGGAGCAAAAGCUAAUGGCAAACUCGAGUCUGUGGACACAGUAACCAGGAUCAGAGCUCGGAGGCAAUUUGGGAGAAGGCUCUAGAUCCAUCUGAGGAAACAUCUGAGUUCAAGUUAGGAGUCCCAGUGGCUCACCCACAGAGAACGUAUCAAGACCUGCCUUCGAAUCUGCGAGCUUGUCACUAACGCUGCUGUCAUUCCUGUACAUUCUGAACAAACGUUUUUUGAAUGAGUUCUUAACAGUGCCCCCAAAUGGUGACAACCUGAAUUUCUAGUCGAGUGUGGGAAUGACACUACCCGACACAGGCAGUAUUAGAGAGCCUCAACAAGGCUCACUGAGACCUUGGGCUGAGGGAUCUACAGCUACAUAUGGGCACUGGGAAGUGACAAUGCCAUAUUUCACAUGGUCCUACCGAGAGUGAAAUAUUUUUCAUUCAAAGAGUUUUCUUGGAAGAUACCAUUAUGUGCUAGAGAAUAGAGCUGGAGUUCUAUAAGGAGUCGUAUCCACCCACAGCCUGGCCCUGUUCACACAGGUGCUCAGUCUCGGGACCUCAGACAUUUACUCCUGGAGAGGCAAAGACCCUCUUCAGUUCCAGACUCGGGAUACAGAGACUAACCAUAAGACUUUCCAAUCCCAGUAAACUCUCACCCCUCAGAGGACAUAUCAUGAAUUACACACACCAAAGGUCCAGGCAAGCAUUUUAUCUAACACUGAACCUCGGGCUGAAAACAAUGCUUGUAUGGCUGAUGCAACCUCGAGAAAUCUCCAUGCUGGUCACGAAAGCCAUUAUAUUGGACCACAUUCCAUUCAAUUGGUUCAGGAUGAUUGAGUCAUUCACAAGAUAGCACGUUAAGAAGUCAUUCAAGGAGACGGAAGAUUUCCAUAAAAGGGAGAAACUACAUGACUAGCAAGACUCAUCUUGGUAAGAUCGUUACAAAAAAUUUUAAUAAGUUCAGUUCCUGGCCAGAAGACAGCAUCAAUAUUGUAAAGACAAGAAUACAUGCCAACAUCCUUCCCCAAGUGCUCAGAUGGUACCUAUGGCUUCCCGCUUAUUCCAGGCUGGCUCCUGGGUUUGCCUGUUCUGCCCACCUCUGCUGUGCUCCUCCACUUUAAGUAGGAUGGCUAGUAAGUCUAAGGCUAACGGCAAAUCACAAUUUAAGCAGAGUUGAGGAUUAAAGCUCACAUGGUAAUUUGGAGAAGAGUCUCAGAACCAUGCGUGUUGGAUGAGAAGCCCAGUGGCCACAAAGAGCAUCCAUAGUGAUCCAACAUGGCUCUUUAGUAAGCAGACACUGACUCUGGGAUUAAAAACAACUUCACAGAGUGAUUCAGAGGAAGAUUUUCUAGCCCUGGGCUAACAAAACCACAUUUUCUGAAUGAAUACUCAAGAGUUGAGGUUGGCUAUGUGUCCAAAAAUGAUUGAGCCUGAACAAGUCAAGGGACCUGCAUUUGAGAGCUAAUUUAAGGCAUGAACUGUUGGUCUCCAACAACGAGAAAAAUCAAACCACUUUCCAGGGGAGUUGGAUCCACAGAGCUACCACGAAGGAAGUUUCUAUUCCAUCACGAAGUUCUUGCUCAUCACAGGUCUGAAUUUACACCAGGAAAGUUGAGGCAAACCAAGGACAGUCACUUCAUGAACCUUCACCAUCAGGCCCAUCUAUGACACAGAUGACCCGGUGGCAAUGACAAGGUGUCCUCUAACCAACAGGAGGGAACCUCCAGCUCAGGAUGGAGCUGACACCAGCAAGGGGCCUGCCCAACAUGGCUGGGUGGCCCACACCAAGUCCACACACUCGUGGUAGAUUCUGGAGUCAAGGUAAGGAAGAAAGACUUCACCAGGGAACAAUGGCGCCCACAGUGAUGGCGAAGGAAACUCAGACUGAAGUCCUGCACUCCCUCCAAGACAGACUUCCUUAUUCACUCCCCCAGUUGCCAGUCACUCUCACCUGAGGACCAUUCAGAAUUUAUCAGAGAAGGAAACUGAUGGGGACCUCUGGGAGACUGGGCAGGUUAGCCCAUUGGCUUUCUUCCCUCUGGGCUGUGGGGUCUGAGGUUCAGUUUCCAAUGUUGGUUGUCUCAAGUAGAAGCCAAUUCUGCCCCUCCGAGCCCCAGCCUCUUGUGCCCAGAUGCCAUGUGCGGUUCCUUGCCAACCUCUAUAUUCAAGACACGGCUUCGAGGCUCUCUAAACAAGAUGGUCAGGAGUUAAGCAGAGAGAACAUGAAUGAAGGGAGCUAAAGAGGAAAAAGCAAGAAAUUUUAUUUGAGGUGUAAGAAGUCACUAGAUCACAAAUCAUGAUUCCCGCUAAUCUAGUGCAGCUUUGAUUUGCCCGAGAAAGCUCAUUGUUGGCCCUUCCAGUGAGGUCUCCCAGGCUUCUCCAUGGAGACUUUUUUUCCUCUCAGAGUGAGAAGCCAGAAAAGCAUACAAUAGUAGCAGCAUAAACAACUUUUCCAAGAUCAAACCUAGAUUAUAGAUGUCGUUCCUUCCACCUGAAAUCAACUCUUGUCAAUAAGAGGUCCCUCUCAAAUAUUGCAUCUCCAAGAGUCCCCUCCCCAGGGACCAAAAGAAAAAAAAGCCACCUGGCUAGCCAAAAGCAACUGAG
ensembl:lncRNA